UUACCUACGGGGGGCAGCAGUGGGGAAUAUUGCACAAUGGGCGAAAGCCUGAUGCAGCAACGCCGCGUGAAGGAAGAAGGCCUUCGGGUCGUAAACUUCUGUCCUUGGGGAAGAAGAACUGACGGUACCCAAGGAGGAAGCCCCGGCUAACUACGUGCCAGCAGCCGCGGUAAUACGUAGGGGGCAAGCGUUAUCCGGAAUUACUGGGCGUAAAGGGUGCGUAGGUGGUUUCUUAAGUCAGAGGUGAAAGGCUACGGCUCAACCGUAGUAAGCCUUUGAAACUGGGGGACUUGAGUGCAGGAGAG
rnacentral:rRNA from 1 species